AUUGAACGCUGGCGGCAGGCCUAACACAUGCCAGUCGAGCGGAUGAAUGGAGCUUGCUCCUUGAUUCAGCUGCGGACGGGUGAGUAAUGCCUAGGAAUCUACCUGUUGGUGGGGGAUAACGUCCGGAAACGGGCGCUAAUACCGCAUACGUCCUUAGGGAGAAAGUGUGGGAUCUUCGGACCUCACGCUAUCAGAUGAGCCUAGGUGGUAUUAGCUAGUUGGUGGGGUAAAGGCCUACCAAGGCGACGAUCCGUGACUGGUCUGAGAGGAUGAUCAGUAAAACUGGAACUGAGCAACGGCCCAACUCCUUACGGGAGGAAGAAGAGGGGAAUUUUGGCAAAUGGGCGAAAGCCUGACCAAGACAGGCGGCGUGGGUGAAGAAGGUCUCCGGACGGUAAAGCCUUUUAAGAUGGGAGGAGGGCAGUAAGUUAAUACCUUGCUGUUUUGACGGUACCAAAAGAAUAAGCACCGGCUAACUUCGUG
rnacentral:rRNA from 1 species